GACGAACGCUGGCGGCGUGCUUAACACAUGCAAGUCGAACGGAAAGGCCCUGCUUUUGUGGGGUGCUCGAGUGGCGAACGGGUGAGUAACACGUGAGUAACCUGCCCUUGUCUUUGGGAUAACUUCAGGAAACUGGGGCGAAUAUCGGAUAGGAGCUCCUGCUGCAUGGGGGGGGUUGGAAAGAUUCGGUGGUUGGGGAUGGACUGGCGGGUUAUCAGCUUGGUGGUGGGGUAGUGGACUACCAAGGUUGUGACGGGUACGCGACCUUAGAGGGUGACCAGCCACAUUGGUACUGAGAGACGGCCCAGUCUCCUACGGGAGGCAGCAGUGGGGAAUAUUACACAAUGGGCGGAAGCCUGAUGCAGCAACGCCGCGUGCGGGAAGACGGCCUUCGGGUUGUGAACCGCUUUGGCCUGAGACGAAGCGGGAGUGACGGUAACGAGUAAAGAAGCACCGGCUAACUACGUG
rnacentral:rRNA from 1 species